GUGAGUCAUCGAGUCUUUGAACGCACAUUGCGGCUUCUGGUAUUCCGGGAGGCAUGCCUGUCUGAGCGUCUAGAGUCCCCCGCUCAAGCUCUUUUGCUUGGUUGUGGAGGUUGAGCGUUGUCUACGUGCUCGUUCACCUUUGAAAUUCAUCGGCGUACUUCUCCGUGUUCCAAUUAGCGUAAUAGGUUAACUCUUUCGCUUGGACUCGUGAAGCUGUCCCGUCGUAAUUACCCCCAUUACUUUUUGGACGACCUCAGAUCAGGUAGGGAUACCCGCUGAACUUAAGCAUAUCAAUAAGCGGAGG
rnacentral:rRNA from 1 species